UACGUAGGGUGCGAGCGUUAAUCGGAAUUACUGGGCGUAAAGCGUGCGCAGGCGGUUUCGUAAGACAGAUGUGAAAUCCCCGGGCUUAACCUGGGAACUGCGUUUGUGACUGCGAGACUGGAGUGCGGUAGAGGAUGGCGGAAUUCCCGGUGUAGCGGUGAAAUGCGUAGAUAUGCGGAGGAACACCGAUGGCGAAGGCAAUCCCCUGGGCCUGCACUGACGCUCAUGCACGAAAGCGUGGGGAGCAAACAGG
rnacentral:rRNA from 1 species